ensembl:lncRNA
GUCAGAUUCUAAGGAUCUCCCUGGAACACUACAUAGGAUUUGUUCAUCCUCAGACUCUUGGCUUUCGGCGACAGAUUCUGAUCCCAGCACCUCUACAUCAUUAGAAGAACUCCUGGUCUUAGGUUUCCUAGUAACCUUUCCCUUAGAUUGUAUAUCAGGACUGCUUGGCUGCAAAAACCCACAGGGUAAUAACAGGUCUCGAUGCAAAGUCCUUAGAGAGCCUGUCUUUCCUUCUGGCUGGACAGCGUAAACAGGUAAAUCACGAAUCCUUUUUGACAACUACAUAAACUCCUUGCUCCCAUUUGUCAGCCAAUUUGUGUUUACCCCUUAGUCUCACAUUCUUCACAAGAACUCUGUCUCCUUCUUCCAGAUUAGAAGCGACCACUCUUUUGUCGAAUCUCCUUUUGUUACGUCCAGCCACUUUCUCAGCAUUCUUAGUAGCUAUGUCAUAACUUUCUCGCAAUCUUGCUUUCAAAUCUUGCACAUAUUGGGAAUGUGACUUUGUAGGGGCAUCCACCGGUAAUCCAAAAGCCAAAUCAACUGGCAACCUGGGUUGCCGUCCGAACAUAAGUUCGUAAGGUGUGUAUCCCGUAGUGUCGUUCCGGGUACAAUUAUAAGCAUGUACCAGGGGCUUUACGAAUUCCUUCCACUGAGAUUUCUUCUCAUUCUCCAGUGUUCCCAACAUUUGGAGAAGUGUGCAAUUAAAUCGCUCCACAGGGUUCCCUCUUGGAUGGUAAGGGGUGGUUCGGACUUUACGUAUUCCGGCAAUCUUACACAGUUCUUUUAUCAUUUUUGACUCAAAGUCUGCCCCCUGGUCGCUAUGCAAUUUUUCUGGGAACCCAUAGUGUACAAAGUAAUUGUCCCAUAGACUUUUGGCAACAGUCUGAGCAGUUUGGUUCCUGGUUGGUAUCGCAACUGCAUACUUGGUGAAGUGAUCUGUAAUAACCAGGAUGUUCUUGGUAUUACUCCGAUCUGGUUCCAAAGACAGAAAGUCUAUGCACACCAGCUCCAGUGGCAUGCUAGUUUUUAUGCUCACCAAGGGUGCUGCUCUUUCCGGUGCGGUCUUUCUACGAACGCAACGUUCACAUGUCCUGAUCUUUUUCUCCACUGCUUGAGACAUUCUUGGCCAAAAGAAUCUUGAUCUGACAAGAUCUAAAGUUCUGUCAGUUCCCAGAUGACCCAUAUCAUCGUGGAGACUUCUCAACACUGUACUUCUAAGAAAAAUGGGAAGCGCCAACUGAUACAAGGGAACCCCGUGAUCUUGUUUCUUUCUGUACAAUAUCCCAUUCUUUAACUCAAGUCGAUUCCAUUCCUUGAACCACAACCGCAAAGUAGACGACUGAUUCCCAAGAUUACUGGGCUUCUUACCACUCUCCAAUCCUUCUAUGACAGCUUUUAUCUCUGAAUCUUUUCUCUGCAGGUCUGCUAAAGACGAUGGAGACAGCUGAGGGAGAUCUGGAAGACCAUGCUCAUCCUCCUGCUGGAACUCUUUGGGCAAAGCAUCUUCAUGGCAAGUGAGGGAUUCGAUCAAGGUAAGUGAAAUAUCAGAAGGGCUUGAAUUCUCAGCUGAUCCAACCACUUGAUGUCUGUCACAUAUCGCUUUUAUGGUGUCUGCAAGAACAACAGAUGGCUCAGCUUCUUGCUCCAUGAAAUGGUGCAGAGCGAACUGUUUGAUUCUUUCUCUUUCUUUCCGUGAGACCCAGUCAUCAAGAAGUUCACCAUGUGGUCGGCGAGAGAGCCCAUCGGCAUCCUGAUUUUGGCUGCCAGCUCUGUACUGCAGCUUGAAGUUAUAGGUUGAUAAGCUGGACAACCAACGGUAACUAAUGGCAUCAAGCUUUGCCGAGGUAAGGAUGUAUGUCAGAGGAUUACUAUCCGUGACAACAGUGAACUCCGCUCCGUAAAGAUAAUCACUGAAUUUGGAGGUAACUGCCCAUUUCAGCGCCAGGAACUCUAAUUUAUGUGCAGGGUAUCGGCUCUCUCCUUUCGUCAGUCCUCUGCUGGCAAAAGCUAUAACUCUCUUCUGCCCUUCUUGCUCCUGAUAUAAAGCUGCGCCCAGCCCUGUGGUGCUGGCAUCUGUGUGUAGCACAUAGGGGAGCUUGGGGUUAGCGAAACCAAGUACAGGCGCAGACGUAAGCUUGUCAAUGAUGGAAUCAAAGGCAAUUUGACACUCUGGAGUCCAUCUCUCAUGAAACUCCUCUUUGGGAUUGAAAUAUCCAUCUUUCAACCUCUUACUCCUACUCUUUUGGAGUGGAGGGUAUCCAGCCGUGAGAUCUGUAAGAGGCUUCACUAUCUUAGAGAAAUCCCGGACGAAUCUUCUGUAAUACCCGGCAAACCCUAGGAAGGACUUUAACUCUUUUAGAUUCGUUGGCCUCGGCCAAGUCUUUAGAGCUUCAGUUUUCGAGGGAUCUGUCUCCACUCCACUCUGAGAGACAAUAUGGCCCAGAUAUUUUACAGAUGUCUGGAAGAAAUGGCAUUUCUCAGGAGAUAGCUUUAAUCCAUACUCCUUCAGAUGAUUAAAGACACGUAACAACCUUGCUUCGUGCUCUUCCAGAGUUUCUGAGAACACAAUGAGAUCGGAUCUGUCUCCACUCCACUCUGAGAGACAAUAUGGCCCAGAUAUUUUACAGAUGUCUGGAAGAAAUGGCAUUUCUCAGGAGAUAGCUUUAAUCCAUACUCCUUCAGAUGAUUAAAGACACGUAACAACCUUGCUUCGUGCUCUUCCAGAGUUUCUGAGAACACAAUGAGAUCGUCGAUAAACACCAACACCUCUUUUCGAUUUAGGUCUCCCAUGCAACGCUCCAUCAAUCUUUGAAACGUGCUCGGCGCAUUGGAUAUUCCUUGUGGCAUUCGAUUGAAUUCCCAGAAUCCAAAUGGGCAAACGAACGCUGUCUUACACUUGUCUGUUUCUUCCAUUUCGAUCUGGUAGAAUCCCGAUUUUAGGUCAAGCACGGAGAACCACUUCGACCCAGUCAACGUGGAAAAGACUUCCUCCAAGUUUGGAAGCGCAUAAGCAUCCUUAAUUGUCUGCAAAUUAAGCUUCCUAAAAUCGAUGCACAAUCUUACUCCACCAUUUUUCUUACGAACCACAACAAUGGGCGAGGCAAAUGAGGAUUCGGACUCGCGUAUGAUUCCAGCUGACAAUAACUCUUGGAGGUGAGCUCUCACAGCAUCGACGUCC